CCUACGGGGGGCAGCAGUGGGGAAUAUUGGGCAAUGGGCGCAAGCCUGACCCAGCAACGCCGCGUGAAGGAAGAAGGCUUUCGGGUUGUAAACUUCUUUUCUCAGGGACGAAGCAAGUGACGGUACCUGAGGAAUAAGCCACGGCUAACUACGUGCCAGCAGCCGCGGUAAUACGUAGGUGGCAAGCGUUAUCCGGAUUUACUGGGGGUAAAGGGCGUGUAGGCGGGGACGCAAGUCAGAUGUGAAAACCACGGGCUGAACCUGUGGCCUGCAUUUGAAACUGUGUUUCUUGAGUACUGGAGAGGCAGACGGAAGUCCUGGUGUAGCGGUGAAAUGCGUAGAGAUUAGGAGGAACACCAGUGGCGAAGGCGGUCUGCUGGACAGCAACUGACGCUGAGGCGCGAAAGCGUGGGGAGCAAACAGGAUUAGAUACCCGGGUAGUC
rnacentral:rRNA from 1 species